AGGUCGACGACGACGCAUCGGCAGGAGCGGAGGACCCGAGCACGACGGGUCCGGCGCCGGUCGCCGGACCCUUGGGGUGAAGCCGCAUCCGCGGCCGGGCAUCUUCGCCUGCCCGAACCCGACAGGUCAUCCUUCGCAGGCGGACGACGAAGGGUUG
rnacentral:sRNA from 2 species